UUUAAUUUUUGUAGACCUUGGGAAAGCCUGGGAUGGGCGAAUACGGCAGCUGCUGUCCGCCGUGGGUGGCUACCCACACACCAUGUCCUGGGACAUUACAGCCUGAGGAGGAAUAGAACGUGCAUGCAUUCCAGAACCUGACCCUUUGCAAAGUUAUAACAGAGACCUACACGCAGAACUUCUCUGUCCUGCAGGAAGCGAAUAUUGAGAAUAGCAUUGGGCAUACUCUGAAAUUUGGACUACACAGAUGGUCAGCUGGUCCUCAAGACUGAAAACACACACCAACAUUUUUAUUUUCUG